rnacentral:rRNA from 1 species
CCCUGCCCAGUGACAAAGUUCAACGGCCGCGGUACCCUAACCGUGCGAAGGUAGCAUAAUCACUUGUUCUUUAAAUGAGGACUAGUAUCAACGGCAUCACGAGGGUUAAACUGUCUCCUCUCUCUAAUCAGUGAAACUGAUCUUCCCGUGAAGAAGCGGGAAUAAUUCUAUAAGACGAGAAGACCCCAUGGAGCUUUAAACUUAAUUACACUCCUAAUUUUUAUUCCUUCAUAACCCUAGGACCCUGUUUAUUUAGUUUUAGGUUGGGGUGACCGCGGAGCAUAACAGAGCCUCCACGAUGAAUGGGUUAACCCCCUUAUCUAAGAGCCACACCUCUAAGAAUUAGUAUUCUAACAUAAAAAUGAUCCGAUAUUCGAUCAACGAACCAAGUUACCCUGGGGAUAACAGCGCAAUCCACUUCAAGAGCCCCUAUCGACAAGUGGGUUUACGACCUCGAUGUUGGAUCAGGGUAUCCUAGUGGUGCAGCAGUUACUAAAGGUUCGUUUGUUCAACGAUUAAAACCCU